AUGGGCGGAAGCCUAAUGCAGCAACGCCGCGUGCGGGAUGACGGCCUUCGGGUUGUAAACCGCUUUCGCCUGUGACAAAGCGUGAGUGACGGUAAUGGGU
rnacentral:rRNA from 1 species